AUGUUAAGUAAGCCAGGUUCA
rnacentral:piRNA from 1 species